AGUUUAGUUCUCCAUGGAAGAUGACGGCUGCUCUAGGGUUUGAAUAUUUCAUGAACAGUGAAUGAUAACCCUAGCUGCCUUUUUUCGGUUUAAAUAAUACAUGGAACGGGCCUCAAAACAAUUGGGCCGAAAAAUAUAAAGUUGUGCUGAAUUAAAUUCGUCUGGAACAUAAACGCAAUUAUUUGACACACUUGCGCUCCGAACUGGGUUUUGACCUCAACAAGAAAGUCGUAGCUCUUGAUCUCAGCUUUCCAACGCAUCUUCCUGCGCCUCAAUCCGAUAUUUGUAACUCC
rnacentral:lncRNA from 1 species